rnacentral:rRNA from 1 species
CAGCAGCCGCGGGAAUACGGAGGGCGCGAGCGUUACCCGGAUUUACUGGGCGUAAAGGGCGUGUAGGCGGCCUGGGGCGUCCCAUGUGAAAGGCCACGGCUCAACCGUGGAGGAGCGUGGGAUACGCUCAGGCUAGAGGGUGGGAGAGGGUGGUGGAAUUCCCGGAGUAGCGGUGAAAUGCGCAGAUACCGGGAGGAACGCCGAUGGCGAAGGCAGCCACCUGGUCCACUUCUGACGCUGAGGCGCGAAAGCGUGGGGAGCAAACCGGAUUAGAUACCCGUGUAGUCCCUGUCUCUUAUAC